UCCAUCACACCCUCUUCAAAGACAUCUUCUUCAUCCUGCAAGAAACAAGCAGCAUCCAUGGCCGUCAUCAUCCCAGAUGCUGCCCUUAAGGAGGGGCUGAGUGGCAAUGCCCUCAGCAGCCCCAGUACACCUGAGCCUGUGGUGGGCACCCAUGACAACAAACUAGAUGUUGACUACAUCAAGAGGUACCUGGACGAUUUGACUCCACUGCAGGGGAGCUGCCUCAUUAGACUUUGCCGGUGGCUCCAGGAGACCCACAAGGGCAAAAUUCCAAAAGAUGAGCCUAUUCUUCAGUUCUUACCUGGGUGAGAUUUUAAUAUUGACAAAGCCAGAGAGAUCAUGUGUCAAUCUUUGACAUGGAGGAAGGAGCACCAGGUAGACUGCAUUCUUGACACCUGGACCCCUCCACAGGUCCUUCAGGAUUUCUACAUGGGAGGCUGGCAUCAUCACAAUAAAGAGGGGUAGCCCCUCUAUGUGCUCAGGCUGGGGCAGAUGGACACCAAAGGCUUGGUGAGAGCACUCAGGGAGGAAGCCCUGCUGAGAUACAUUCUCUCCAUAAAUGAGGAAGGGCUAAGGUGAUAUGAGGAGAAUACAAAAGUCUUUGGUCAGCUUAUCAGUUCAUGGACCUGCCUGGUGGACUUGGAAGGGCUGAACAUGUGCCACUUGUGGAGACCCAGUGUCAAAGCGCUGCUGCAGAUCAUUGAGGUGGUGGAGGCCAAUUACCCUGAGACACUGGGCUGCCUUCUCAUCCUGCAGGUGCCCAGGGUGUUUCCUGUGCUCUGGAUGCUGGUUAGUCCAUUCAUUGAUGACAACACCAGAAGGAAAUUCCUCCUUUAAACAGGAAAUGACUACCAGGGUCCUGGAGGCCUGCUGGAUUACACUGACAAAAAGAUUAUUCCAGAUUUCCUGAGUGGGGAGUGCAUGUGUGAAGUGCCAGAGGGUGAAUUCGUCCUCAGAUUUCUGUACUGCACUGCAGAGGAGCUGGAGGAUGAAGACCACAAGCUCUGGACUGAGAGCAUUUACCAGUCUGUAAGCAUCUUCAAAGGAGGCCCCCAAGAGAUUUUCAUUCGGAUUGUGGACGCCUCUUCAGUCAUCAUUUGGGAUUUUGAUGUGUGCAAAGGGACAAGAGGUCACCACAGCCAUCCCAAAAGGACUCCCUGGGGGCCCACAGCAUCACCUCUCCAGGUGGGAUCCAUGUGCAGCUCAUAGACAAAGUCUGGCAGCUGGGCUGCUACUACAGCAUGAUGAUUGCCUCUGAUCUGCAAAGAAGGAGAAAGUGCGCAGGGCUCCCCCAGUGACCAGGUGGCUGGGCUUCUACAGCCUGUAGUGAAAUGCCACAGCAUGCCCACAUGCGCUGCCAGCAGCCUGCCCCGGGUGGACGACGUGCUCGCAUCCCUGCAGGCCUCUUUGCACAAAUGUAAAGUGAUGUACUACACGAGGUGAUCGGCCCCGAGGAUUUCAGAGGUUCCAUGACAAGCCUGGAGUCCAGCCACAGUGGCUUCUCACAGGUGAGUGCCACCACCACCUCCUCCAGCCAGUCCCACUCCAGCUCCAUGAUCUCCAGGUAGUGCCACGCUGUCUGUGCCUAGUGUGCAGAGGGGAUGGCCACCCCUCUUCGGACAGCCAGCUGCACCCAUCUGCCCAGCGGUGACACUGUAUAGACUCCUCUCACCUCUAGAUAGCAAAUAGCUCUCCAGAUGGUAAACAUAGUCGUUUGAUCCCAAAGCUAUCUUGGCAGGUAGUUUUAACUCUGAUCCUAACUUAACUCAGUAGCCAUAGAUUUUGGAUAAGUUGUGCACAAAAACCUGAUUUUUAUAUCUAUUAACCUUGUUAAACUCUUUUAUUGUUAAAAUUUAUCUGUAGAUUGUUUUGGAUGUGACACAUACAUAUUUUUUUUUUUUUGAGACAAAGUUCUGCUCUUGUUGCCUAGGCUGGGGUGCAGUGGCACGAUAUCAGCUCACUGCAACCUCUGCCUUCAGGGUUCAAGCAAUUCUUGUAUGCCACUUGGGAAAGAAUACACCAACACAUUUGCAUUUUUUUUUUUCUUCUUUAAAGGAGAUGACAAAAACCCAGUUUACCAGCUUUACUUUUUGGAACCUAAGCUUAACAUUACAUAUUUAAACAAUUGUCAAAAAGUUGCUAAGUUGCCAGCAUACAUGCACAACUAGAAAACACCCUUAAUUUAUAUUAAACCGGAAACAUAUUACCAUUAAUGCAUUAAUAUCUUUCACUA